rnacentral:rRNA from 1 species
AGGAGGCAGCAUGAACUUAGCUUGCUAAGUUUGAUGGCGACCGGCGCACGGGUGAGUAACGCGUAUCCAACCUGCCCCAUAGUCAGGGACAGCCCGGCGAAAGUCGGAUUAAUACCUGAUGUUCUCCCUUGAGGGCCUCUGACGGGGAGCAAAGAUUCAUCGCUAUGGGAUGGGGAUGCGUAGGAUUAGGCAGUCGGCGGGGUAACGGCCCACCGAGCCGACGAUCCUUAGGGGUUCUGAGAGGAAGGUCCCCCACACUGGUACUGAGACACGGACCAGACUCCUACGGGAGGCAGCAGUGAGGAAUAUUGGUCAAUGGGCGGUAGCCUGAACCAGCCAAGUAGCGUGCAGGAAGACGGCCCUACGGGUUGUAAACUGCUUUUGCCGGGGGAUAACUGGCGCCACGCGUGGCGCCUUGCAGGUACCCGGCGAAUAAGGACCGGCUAAUUCCGUGCCAGCAGCCGCGGUAAUACGGAAGGUCCGGGCGUUAUCCGGAUUUAUUGGGUUUAAAGGGAGCGCAGGCGGCCUUUUAAGCGUGACGUGAAAUGUAGGCGCUCAACGUCUGAAUUGCGUCGCGAACUGAGGGGCUUGAGUUCACGGGAAGUUGGCGGAAUUCGUGGUGUAGCGGUGAAAUGCUUAGAUAUCACGAAGAACUCCGAUUGCGAAGGCAGCUGACUGCAGUUGGACUGACGCUCAUGCUCGAAAGUGCGGGUAUCGAACA